GAUGAAGAACGCAGCGAAAUGCGAUACGUAAUGUGAAUUGCAGAAUUCAGUGAAUCAUCGAGUCUUUGAACGCACAUUGCGCCCCCUGGUAUUCCGGGGGGCAUGCCUGUCCGAGCGUCAUUGCUGCCCUCAAGCACGGCUUGUGUGUUGGGCCUCCGUCCUCCUCCCGGGGGACGGGCCCGAAAGGCAGCGGCGGCACCGCGUCCGGUCCUCGAGCGUAUGGGGCUUCGACACCCGCUCUUGUAGGCCCGGCCGGCGCUUGCCGACACAUCAAUCUUUUUUCCAGGUUGACCUCGGAUCAGGUAGGGAUACCCGCUGAACUUAAGCAUAUCAAUAAGCGGAGGA
rnacentral:misc_RNA from 1 species